UACGAAGGCAGCAGUGGGGAAUAUUGGACAAUGGGCGAAAGCCUGAUCCAGCCAUGCCGCAUGAGUGAAGAAGGCCUUCGGGUUGUAAAGCUCUUUUAGUGAGAAAGAUAAUGACGGUACUCACAGAAGAAGUCCUGGCUAACUCCGUGCCGGCAGCCGCGGUAAUACGGAGAGGGCUAGCGUUAUUCGGAAUUAUUGGGCGUAAAGAGCGCGUAGGCUGAUUAGUAAGUUAAAAGUGAAAUCCCAAAGCUUAACUUUGGAAUUGCUUUUUAAAACUGCUAGUCUAGAGAUUGAAAGAGGAUAGAGGAAUUCCUAGUGUAGAGGUGAAAUUCGUAAAUAUUAGGAGGAACACCAGUGGCGAAGGCGUCUAUCUGGUUCAAAUCUGACGCUGAGGCGCGAAGGGCGUGGGGAGCAAACAGGGAUUAGAUACC
rnacentral:rRNA from 1 species